UGGGGAAUAUUGGACAAUGGGGGGAACCCUGAUCCAGCAAUGCCGCGUGAGUGAAGAAGGCCUUCGGGUUGUAAAGCUCUUUUGUUAGGGACGAUGAUGACGGUACCUAACGAAUAAGCUCCGGCUAACUUCGUGCCAGCAGCCGCGGUAAUACGAAGGGAGCUAGCGUUGUUCGGAAUUACUGGGCGUAAAGGGCGCGUAGGCGGUUUGAUAAGUUUGGUGUGAAAGCCCUGGGCUUAACCUAGGAAUAGCAUUGGAUACUGUCAGACUAGAGACUAAGAGAGGGAAAUGGAAUUGCGAGUGUAGAGGUGAAAUUCGUAGAUAUUCGCAAGAACACCGGUGGCGAAGGCGAUUUCCUGGCUUAGCACUGACGCUAAGGCGCGAAAGCGUGGGGAGCAAACAGGAUUAGAUACCCCCGUAGUCC
rnacentral:rRNA from 1 species